rnacentral:rRNA from 1 species
GACGUAGGGUGCAAGCGUUGUCCGGAGUUACUGGGCGUAAAGGGCGCGUAGGCGGCGCGUCAUGUCGCACGUGAAAGCCCCCGGCUCAACCGAGGAGGGUCGUGCGAAACGGGCGUGCUGGAGGCAGGGAGAGGCGAGUGGAAUUCCCGGUGUAGUGGUGAAAUGCGUAGAUAUCGGGAGGAACACCAGAGGCGAAGGCGGUUCGCUGGCCCUGACCUGACGCUGAGGCGCGAAGGCGUGGGGAGCGAACGGG